rnacentral:lncRNA from 1 species
UCACGUCAUUCUCUGUGAUCAGAACUCUACUGGGAGAAUAGGAUUGCCCACUCUUCUUACAGAACAUCUUCCUAGAGCUUAACCUAGCCAGCACCGCCAGCUGCAGUCCGUUCAACCCAGCUCGGGCGUCACCGUCACUGAGGUGCCUAAAUCCUGAAGCUUUCUACACAUUGGGUAAUACUGGAAUUUGGAGGAUACUACUUAGACAGCUGGAUAUGUAAGUUGGAGAAGGAGUGCAGUAAGUAAAAAUGUACCUGUUA